ACUGGGAAGAAGUAACUGCGACUAAGCCAAACCAAACCAAGGCAUUUGGCUGAGAUAAGCGAGCAGCAGAGCUAACGGUCUUUUUUUGUAUGGUGCAGUUGCAAGUGGAGGGGAAUUCGGUGGUAUAAUGGCCAAGACGCAUGCGUGGCACUGCGGACCUGGCCAAAAACAGAGCAAAGAAGGCCAGACACGCAGCAGGCGGCCAGAUGGAACGAAACUAAGUCAAACAUUUGUAGAACACGGCGGAGAAUCCAGCGAAAAGGGGUCUCUGGACAUCUAAGAUCUCCCGGGGGAAAUGCGGAUGGAAAAGUGGAAAAUUUAUGGGCCCCAAAAGGCGAAUAGAUGUCGUAGAUUUCGCAUGCUACAACGAAUAGUUAACAGUUGAGAAUGGGGAUUUGGCCAAAAACCUACCAUGUAGAUGCCUGGAUAUACGUAAAAUAUGGGUUGGAGGAAUUGAUAGUUGCCCACAACAAGAUAGCAAUUUUUUUCUUAGAUAACAAACAAAAAAAAAUACCAAAGCCAUUUGUGAACUUCCCUUGAACUCCGUUAUUCGACCAGAAGUGCCUUUUAAUUGGUUCAAAUCGCAAUUUGCAUAGACCAUUUGCCGAAGUUAUCGCCCGGGGAGGUCCGACAUUCGAAACGGGUCCAGGUUUCCAUUCGGGGAUCCUGGUUACCAACGGCUGGCUACAUGUGGCAACAUUUUAGUGAUAAGCCGCAGCAAAAAUGCUGGCCAAGUCGGUACACAGCUGUCGAUUCUGCAUUUGGCCAAGCUCCAAUCUCGAAAACCAAGCCCCAUCCCCUCGACGCUGUCGCUUUUGUGGCAUUUGUAUUGGC
ensembl:ncRNA lncRNA:CR45399 long non-coding RNA:CR45399